rnacentral:snRNA from 1 species
AUACUUACUUGGCAGAAGCAAUAUCAUGAUCACAAAUUCUCCAAAUGCAGGAAUCUUGACUGCAUAAUUUGUGGCAGUAGGGGACUCUGUUCGUGCUUUCCCCUG